rnacentral:rRNA from 1 species
UGGGUAAUCUUGUGAAACUUCAUCGUGCUGGGGAUAGAGCAUUGCAAUUAUUGCUCUUCAACGAGGAAUCCCUAGUAAGCGUGAGUCAUCAGCUCGCGUUGAUUACGUCCCUGACCUUUGUACACACCGCCCGUCGCUACUACCGAUUGAACGGCUUAGUGAGACUCUCGGAUUGGCUUAUGGUAGCUGGCAACAGCUUGCCGUUGGCUGAGAAGUUAGUCAAACUUGGUCGUUUAGAGGAAGUAAAAGUCGUAACAAGGUUUCCGUAGGUGAACCUGCGGAAGGAUCAUU